rnacentral:rRNA from 1 species
GCCGCGGUAAUUCCAGCUCCAAUAGCGUAUAUUAAAGUCGUUGCAGUUAAAAAGCUCGUAGUUGAAUUUCGGGAUCAAUUUAUCGGUCGUGCCAAUGGUAUGAACUGGUACAAUUGGUUUCUCCCUUCUGACGAAGCAUGAUGUCAUUAAUUUGGUGUCGUGGGGAAUCAGGACUGUUACUUUGAAAAAAUUAGAGUGUUUAAAGCAAGCAUUAGCUUGAAUACAUUAGCAUGGAAUAAUGAAAUAGGACGUUUGAUCCUAUUUCGUUGGUUUCUAGGAUCGACGUAAUGAUUAAUAGGGAUAGUUGGGGGCAUUAGUAUUCAAUUGUCAGAGGUGAAAUUCUUGGAUUUAUUGAUACUAACUACUGCGAAAGCAUUUGCCAAGGAUGUUUUCAUUAAUCAAGAACGAAAGUUAGGGGAUCGAAGACGAUCAGAUACCGUCGUAGUCUUAACCAUAAACUAUGCCGACUAGGGAUCGGAUGAUGUUAAUUUUUUAAUGACUCAUUCGGCGCCUUACGGGAAACCAAAGUGUUUGGGUUCCGGGGGGAGUAUGGUCGCAAGGCUGAAACUUAAAGGAAUUGACGGAAGGGCACCACCAGGGGUGGAGCCUGCGGCUUAAUUUGACCCAACACGGGGAAACUCACCAGGUCCAGACAUAGUAAGGAUUGACAGAUUGAGAGCUCUUUCUUGAUUCUAUGGUGGUGGUGCAUGGCCGUUCUUAGUUGGUGGAGUGAUUUGUCUGGUUAAUUCCGAUAACGAACGAGACCUUAACCUGCUAAAUAGCUAGGCUUAGCAUUGCUAGGUCGUCAGCUUCUUAGAGGGACUAUCGGUGUUUAACCGAUGGAAGUUUGAGGCAAUAACAGGUCUGUGAUGCCCUUAGAUGUUCUGGGCCGCACGCGCGCUACACUGAUGAAGUCAACGAGUUCACUCCCUUUGUCGGAAGACAUGGGUAAUCUUUUGAAACUUCAUCGUGCUGGGGAUAGAGCAUUGCAAUUAUUGCUCUUAAACGAGGAAUCCCUAGUAAGUACAAGUCAUCAGCUUGUGCUGAUUACGUCCCUGCCCUUUGUACACACCGCCCGUCGCUACUACCGAUUGAAUGGCUUAGUGAGGACUUCGGAUUGAGCUUCGGAAGCUGUAAAAGGCAUCCGAUUUUUAAAAAGUUGUUCAAACUUGGUCAUUUAGAGGAAGUAAAAGUC